UUAGAGUUUGAUUCCUGGCUCAGGAUGAACGCUGGCGGCGUGCUUAACACAUGCAAGUCGAACGAUGAAGACCGUGCUUGCACGGUUGGAUUAGUGGCGAACGGGUGAGUAUCACGUGAGUAACCUUCCCUUGACUCUGGGAUAAGCCCGGGAAACUGGGUCUAAUACCGGAUACGACCAGUCCUCGCAUGGGGUGCUGGUGGAAAGAUUUAUCGGUCUUGGAUGGACUCGCGGCCUAUCAGCUUGUUGGUGAGGUAAUGGCUCACCAAGGCGAUGACGGGUAGCCGGCCUGAGAGGGUGACCGGCCACACUGGGACUGAGACACGGCCCAGACUCCUACGGGAGGCAGCAGUGGGGAAUAUUGCACAAUGGGCGAAAGCCUGAUGCAGCGACGCCGCGUGCGGGAUGACGGCCUUCGGGUUGUAAACCGCUUUCAGCACGGAAGAAGCGAAAGUGACGGUACCUGCAGAAGAAGCGCCGGCUAACUACGUGCCAGCAGCCGCGGUAAUACGUAGGGCGCGAGCGUUAUCCGGAAUUAUUGGGCGUAAAGAGCUCGUAGGCGGUUUGUCACGUCUGCUGUGAAAGCCCGAGGCUCAACCUCGGGUGUGCAGUGGGUACGGGCAGACUAGAGUGCAGUAGGGGAGACUGGAAUUCCUGGUGUAGCGGUGAAAUGCGCAGAUAUCAGGAGGAACACCGAUGGCGAAGGCAGGUCUCUGGGCUGUUACUGACGCUGAGGAGCGAAAGCAUGGGGAGCGAACAGGAUUAGAUACCCUGGUAGUCCAUGCCGUAAACGUUGGGCACUAGGUGUGGGGGACAUUCCACGUUUUCCGCGCCGUAGCUAACGCAUUAAGUGCCCCGCCUGGGGAGUACGGCCGCAAGGCUAAAACUCAAAGGAAUUGACGGGGGCCCGCACAAGCGGCGGAGCAUGCGGAUUAAUUCGAUGCAACGCGAAGAACCUUACCAAGGCUUGACAUGGACCGGAUCGCUGCAGAGAUGCAGUUUCCCUUCGGGGUCGGUUCACAGGUGGUGCAUGGUUGUCGUCAGCUCGUGUCGUGAGAUGUUGGGUUAAGUCCCGCAACGAGCGCAACCCCUAUCCUAUGUUGCCAGCACGUGAUGGUGGGGACUCAUGGGAGACUGCCGGGGUCAACUCGGAGGAAGGUGGGGACGACGUCAAAUCAUCAUGCCCCUUAUGUCUUGGGCUUCACGCAUGCUACAAUGGCCGGUACAAUGGGUUGCGAUACUGUGAGGUGGAGCUAAUCCCUAAAAGCCGGUCUCAGUUCGGAUCGAAGUCUGCAACUCGACUUCGUGAAGUUGGAGUCGCUAGUAAUCGCAGAUCAGCAACGCUGCGGUGAAUACGUUCCCGGGCCUUGUACACACCGCCCGUCAAGUCACGAAAGUGGGUAACACCCGAAGCCGGUGGCCUAACCCUUGUGGGGGGAGCCGUCGAAGGUGGGACUCGCGAUUGGGACUAAGUCGUACAGGGGUUAACCGGUAAA
rnacentral:rRNA from 1 species